rnacentral:rRNA from 1 species
AGUGAUCUAGGCAUGGCCAGGUUGAAGGUUGGGUAACACCAACUGGAGGUCCGAACCCACACCUGUUGAAAAAGGUCGGGAUGAGUUGUGCCUAGGGGUGAAAGGCCAAUCAAACUCGGAGAUAGCUGGUUCUCUGCGAAAUCUAUUUAGGUAGAGCGUCUCGUAUUACCUUCGGGGGUAGAGCACUGGAUGGGCUAGGGGGUCC